AAUCAACGCUGGCGGCGUGCCUCAGACAUGCAAGUCGAACGAUUAAGACUUCCUUCGGGAAGUGCAUAAAGUGGCGCACGGGUGAGUAACACGUAAGUAAUCUACCCUCGAGUGGGGAAUAACGUUCGGAAACGAACGCUAAUACCGCAUAAUGCAGCGGCAUCGCAAGAUGACAGUUGUUAAUGGAGUAAUUCGCUUGAGGAGGAGCUUGCGGCAGAUUAGCUAGUUGGUAAGGUAACGGCUUACCAAGGCUACGAUCUGUAUCCGGUCUAAGAGGACGGUCGGACACACUGACACUGAAUAACGGGUCAGACUCCUACGGGAGGCAGCAGUCGGGAAUUUUGGGCAAUGGGGGAAACCCUGACCCAGCAACGCCGCGUGAAGGAUGAAGUAUUUCGGUAUGUAAACUUCGAAAGAAUGGGAAGAAUAAAUGACGGUACCAUUUAUAAGCUCCGGCUAACUACGUGCCAGCCGCCGCUGUAACAC
rnacentral:rRNA from 1 species